GACGAACCGUCCAAACGUUAUUCGGAAUCACUGGGCUUACAGAGUUCGUAGGCGGUCUGGUAAGUUGGGUGUGAAAUCCCUCGGCCUAACCGAGGAACUGCGCUUGAAACUACCAGACUCGAGGGAGAUAGAGGAAAGCGGAACUGAUGGUGGAGCGGUGAAAUGCGUUGAUAUCAUCAGGAACACCGGUGGCGAAGGCGGCUUUCUGGGUCUUACCUGACGCUGAGGAACGAAAGCCAGGGGAGCGAACGGG
rnacentral:rRNA from 1 species